rnacentral:rRNA from 1 species
UACGUAGGGUGCAAGCGUUAAUCGGAAUUACUGGGCGUAAAGCGCACGUAGGCGGAUUUGUAAGUCAGGGGUGAAAUCCCGGGGCUCAACCUCGGAACUGCCUUUGAUACUGCAAAUCUCGAGUCCGGAAGAGGUGAGUGGAAUUCCGUAAGUGUAGAGGUGAAAUUCGUAGAUAUUAGGAAGAACACCCAGUGGCGAAGGCGGCUCACUGGUCCGGUACUGACCGCUGAGGUGCGAAAGCGUGGGGAGCAAACAGGG